rnacentral:rRNA from 1 species
UAGGGAAUCUUCCACAAUGGACGCAAGUCUGAUGGAGCAACGCCGCGUGAGUGAAGAAGGUUUUCGGAUCGUAAAGCUCUGUUGUUGGUGAAGAAGGAUAGAGGUAGUAACUGGCCUUUAUUUGACGGUAAUCAACCAGAAAGUCACGGCUAACUACGUGCCAGCAGCCGCGGUAAUACGUAGGUGGCAAGCGUUGUCCGGAUUUAUUGGGCGUAAAGCGAGCGCAGGCGGAAGAAUAAGUCUGAUGUGAAAGCCCUCGGCUUAACCGAGGAACUGCAUCGGAAACUGUUUGUCUUGAGUGCAGAAGAGGAGAGUGGAACUCCAUGUGUAGCGGUGGAAUGCGUAGAUAUAUGGAAGAACACCAGUGGCGAAGGCGACUCUCUGGUCUGCAACUGACGCUGAGGCUCGAAAGCAUGGGUAGCGAGCAGG